AGUCGAGCGGAUGAAGGGAGCUUGCUCCUGCGAUUCAGCGGCGGACGGGUGAGUAAUGCCUAGGAAUCUGCCUGGUAGUGGGGGAUAACGUCCGGAAACGGGCGCUAAUACCGCAUACGUCCUGAGGGAGAAAGUGGGGGAUCUUCGGACCUCACGCUAUCAGAUGAGCCUAGGUCGGAUUAGCUAGUUGGUGGGGUAAAGGCCUACCAAGGCGACGAUCCGUAACUGGUCUGAGAGGAUGAUCAGUCACACUGGAACUGAGACACGGUCCAGACUCCUACGGGAGGCAGCAGUGGGGAAUAUUGGACAAUGGGCGAAAGCCUGAUCCAGCCAUGCCGCGUGUGUGAAGAAGGUCUUCGGAUUGUAAAGCACUUUAAGUUGGGAGGAAGGGCAGUAAGUUAAUACCUUGCUGUUUUGACGUUACCAACAGAAUAAGCACCGGCUAACUUCGUGCCAGCCGCCGCGG
rnacentral:rRNA from 1 species